rnacentral:rRNA from 1 species
UACAGAGGGUGCAAGCGUUAAUCGGAAUUACUGGGCGUAAAGAGCGCGUAGGCGGUCCGGUAAGUCCGCUCUGAAAGUCCGGGGCUCAACCCCGGGAGGCGGGCGGAUACUGUCGGGCUAGAGUCCGGAAGAGGCGAGUGGAAUUCCUGGUGUAGCGGUGAAAUGCGCAGAUAUCGGGAGGAACACCAAUUGCGAAGGCAGCUCGCUGGGACGUUACUGACGCUGAGACGCGAAAGCGUGGGGAGCAAACAGG